UACAGAGGGUGCAAGCGUUGUUCGGAAUUAUUGGGCGUAAAGAGCUCGUAGGCGGCUUGUUGCGUCGACCGUGAAAACCCGGGGCUCAACUUCGGGCUUGCGGUCGAUACGGGCGGGCUAGAGUUCGGUAGGGGAGACUGGAAUUCCUGGUGUAGCGGUGAAAUGCGCAGAUAUCAGGAGGAACACCGGUGGCGAAGGCGGGUCUCUGGGCCGAUACUGACGCUGAGGAGCGAAAGCGUGGGGAGCGAACAGG
rnacentral:rRNA from 1 species